CAGAGGAUAUCAUCAUGAAACCAAGUAAGAAUAUUGCAAAAUACAUAGGCUGAAAGAAGACCAAUAUAGAUCCUGUGACAUUUAAAACGGAGUAUCCGAUAGGUUGGCACAUGGCAAGGGCAGACCAACACAGUUGCAAGGAGGUGAGGAAAAUGAAGAUCAAAGAAAUGAUGCAAUCUGAAGAUCCUGGUAAGGUAAGAAGAAAACUGGAGAAAGUGGAGAUACAAUGUUAAGCACGUCUAAGAAAGGACACAUAAGCAGCAUCAGCAGCCAAUAAUCUAGCA
rnacentral:lncRNA from 1 species